GAUGAACGCUGGCGGCGUGCCUAAUACAUGCAAGUCGAGCGAACAGAUGAGGAGCUUGCUCCUCUGACGUUAGCGGCGGACGGGUGAGUAACACGUGGAUAACCUACCUAUAAGACUGGGAUAACUUCGGGAAACCGGAGCUAAUACCGGAUAAUAUAUUGAACCGCAUGGUUCAAUAGUGAAAGACGGUUUUGCUGUCACUUAUAGAUGGAUCCGCGCCGCAUUAGCUAGUUGGUAAGGUAACGGCUUACCAAGGCAACGAUGCGUAGCCGACCUGAGAGGGUGAGCGGCCACACUGGAACUGAGACACGGUCCGGACUCCUAAGGGAGGCAGCAGUAGGGAAUCUUCCGCAAUGGGCGAAAGCCUGACGGAGCAACGCCGCGUGAGUGAUGAAGGUCUUCGGAUCGUAGAACUCUGUUAGUAGGGAAGAACAAAUGUGGAAGUAACUAUGCACGUCUUGACGGUACCUAAUCAGAAAGCAACGGCUAACUUCGUG
rnacentral:rRNA from 1 species